GCUGGGCAUGGUGGCGCAUGCCUGUAAUCCCAGCUACUUGAGAGGCUGAGGCAGGAGAAUUGCUUGAACCCGGGUGGCGGAGGUUGCAGUGAGCCUAGAUCGCGCCACUGCACUCCAGCCUGGGUGACAGAGCGAGACUCUGUCUCAA
ensembl:misc_RNA Metazoa_SRP Metazoan signal recognition particle RNA